CCUACGGGAGGCAGCAGUCGGGAAUAUUGCGCAAUGGAGGAAACUCUGACGCAGUGACGCCGCGUGCAGGAAGAAGGUUUUCGGAUUGUAAACUGCUUUAGACAGGGAAGAAAAAAGACAGUACCUGUCGAAUAAGCUCCGGCUAACUACGUGCCAGCAGCCGCGGUAAUACGUAGGGAGCAAGCGUUAUCCGGAUUUAUUGGGUUUAAAGGGUGCGUAGACGGAUAAGCAAGUUAGUUGUGAAAUCCCUCGGCUUAACUGAGGAACUGCAACUAAAACUACUUGCCUUGAGUACUGGAGAGGAAAGUGGAAUUCGUGGUGUAGCGGUGAAAUGCGUAGAUAUUAGGAGGAACACCAGUGGCGAAGGCGACUUUCUAGACAGUAACUGACGUUGAGGCACGAAAGUGUGGGGAGCAAACAGGAUUAGAUACCCGGGUAGUC
rnacentral:rRNA from 1 species